GUCCUGCCAGCUGGGUGGCUUCAGGAGCUUGGAUAAUACACGUGCAGCGUUGGACAGUAAUUACUCCCCAUCCUGAAAAAUUCACAGAUUACGAAUCCAUAGAUGGUUUGUGCAGCUGACGGCGGCUUUGAGCAUCUCCAGUGUUAGAAGAGGACUGCACCCAGUGCAGAGUGCAUGUAUACAGCUUCAGCAGAUCCGGAUUUAAUGUUUAUCCUGAGCCAGAUCUGGCAAAAGUCCAUCAGCCCCAAGUCUCCUGCAAAGAGUGCACCAGGCUGAAGAGUGUGAGGCCCAGGUUCAUCCUGACUACACCUUGAUGAGGGGAUACAUGAGGUGCCUGAUUCACGAGCAUCACCUGAGCGAUAGCAUCUCCAGCCAGCGCAAGUCUGCAGAAGGUUAUUAGUAUGGGAUAGAUCACCCUGCACGACCUGGCUUGGGAGAAGAAAAAUAGAGCUCUUAGUGUGACCAGCCAGUAAUGCAAAGUACAGGCAGUGCUUUUAGUUCACAGGCACUCAGGCCUGUGUGCCUGGAAGUGUUCAGGUUGUGCCAGAGAGGGUCAUAGAGCUUGUGAAGUGUGGGAGUAGCUGCUGGGAGUGCUCAGACCCGGGAGGAAGAGUGGCCUCGCAGCUGGAGGUGAAAGAGAAAAAGCAUCCAGAAAAAGGCAGAGGAGUAAUUAGGAACAAUGAAAAUGAGGAAAAGAGUGAGAAAACAGAAAGAAAUCUGGAACAAAGAAUCCAAAAAGGAUGUGACACUACGGCAAGAGCGGUUCGUGGUGGUGCACAUACUGCACAUCUGCUGCAAGCAGUGUUUGUUCUUCUCUCAGGCAGAGUACGCUGGCGCUCCAGUUCCCCACCGCUGAGCAGCUCUAAGGAAUGCUCGUCUGUACAUCUCCUAAACACCUCCUAUGGCUUCUGCAAGGGCACAUCUUUUACAUUCAGCUACAGGAGCUGCAGCCAUCUACAACACAUUAUCCUGAUGUGAGCAGGAAAGGAACAAAGGAGUGCUCUUCACAGAUGCAUUUGUCCCUGUGUAUCCUCAGUGUUCGCAUCAACUUUGGGAAUGAAAAGCAUUUAUAUUUGAUUACUCUCCUUUUAAAAGAAUGUCACUCUCAGAGAGAAUUUCAGUGCCUCGGGGCACGGGAAAGGGAUUUUUUUUUUUUUUUUUUUUGGUUGCUCUGAAUGGAGCGUGGGCUCUGUGUGUGUCAGGGUUCUCUGCUUCGGUUUCCUGCUUGUGGGCUCUCAGCCCUCAUGCUGGUGUUCAGCAGAUCUCACUGAGAGCAGUCUAAGAGUGGGGUGGAUCAGUGCCAUCUUCCAGAGAGAGGGAAACUUGACACAGCAUUUCUGUCCCUAAAAUGAUUAAUUACUCCUGCAGUGAGGUCCUGAAGACCCAGGGUGAAAAUUGGAGGCUGAAAGUGUCGCUCCUAAAUCUCUUUCUGGCCAUAUAAACACAAGUGCUCCGCGGAGGAUUCCUCUAGGACAGACAUUGCAGCCGAGGGAGUAACUUUGCCUGGAGAGACAAACCCCUGCCGCCUGGGCUCUGCGAGGCAUGGGAGGGCCUGCAGCCCAUCUGCUCUUGGCUGCUCGACAGCCCUCAAGGGUUCCUGCAUCUGGAGUGCGGUUUGGAGCAACCCCAGGUCACUUCUCCAGCGAGGAGGCUACGGGAAUCUCCUCUGCAGUUCCCUCACUCCUCUGGCACUCAGAUCUCAACCCCAGCUGCUUGAGGCUUUGAAGAAGCCACUGCCCAUGUCCAGCCGCGGGGUUACUGACAUGAUGAAAGCUGCUGGCGACUAUCCGUAACGGGAGGUGGCUGCUUCAGGGAAAGGACUUGCUGAAGCACAGUCACCCAGGAAAACCUGGUGUGAGUUAACUGAACGUGUGAACUGAGAGUGGAUUAGCAAGGCCACAUAAGUGGAUGGAUCCCUUAUAUUAUUGUCUUCAGAAUUUAAACGGUCCCAAUUUGUUUCAGAGUAAUUAUGAAAGAGGGUGUUAUACUGGCUUUAAUGAGAUCUAAUGUGCUCACCAUAAAAGUUAGUCUGGGUUAGGUUUUUGUGUCUCUCAGCAGGGGUGGGAUUGGAAUAUAGUGCUGAUUUAUUUUUUUUUUUGGUAGAAAACUUGUAUUGUCUUUACUACAGAUUUUAAUAACUGAUUCUGAUAAUGUAGUAAUCUGUUUUUAUUAUUA
rnacentral:lncRNA from 1 species